AUUGUGACAACGAGAAAGUGGCCACAGGGGAAGAACAAGGAAGAUGGGAGGAGGGUGUUGAUUGCCCAACUAAAUUCCCAGAUCUCUCCAGUGUUAUUCUGUCUUGAUUUGCCUCUUUCUCUGAAAAAUUGGGGCAGAAGGACCCUCUAUGAUGCAAGAGUGAAGAGAGCUUUUUUCACGCAAGAACAUCAUGUACUUUGAGCCCAUACCUCCAGGCUCUCCAUCCAUCCCCUCUGAGCCCGGUCUCUUCCCACUGGUCUUCUGCGUUUCCCAGACAGCUUCACAUCUAUACUCACAUCAUCCACACAGCUGCGAUUUUAUUCUGGCACUCACAAGUGAGAGGAAUGAUAUAAUCCAACAUUUGUCUUUUGAGGACUGACAAUUUCUUUAAUAUGACCAUCUCCAGUUGCAUCCAUUUUCCUGAAAACAGCAUAACUUUAAUUAGUCUUCACGGUUGAAAUAAAUGAUUAUGCAUAUAAAAC
ensembl:lincRNA 4930532M18Rik RIKEN cDNA 4930532M18 gene